rnacentral:rRNA from 1 species
GACGAACCACACAAACGUUAUUCGGAAUUACUGGGCUUAAAGGGUGCGUAGGCGGCGCGGAAGGUUGGGUGUGAAAUCCCUCGGCUCAACCGAGGAACUGCGCCCAAAACUACCGUGCUCGAGGGAGAUAGAGGUGAGCGGAACUUAGGGUGGAGCGGUGAAAUGCGUUGAUAUCCUAAGGAACACCCGUGGCGAAAGCGGCUCACUGGGUCUUCUCUGACGCUGAGGCACGAAAGCUAGGGUAGCGAACGGG